AUCACCAAAACACAAAAACACCAUUAGAAGAAUUCUCACCAGUACCUGCCAAGAAUCAAAUGAAUACCUGAAAAUGGAAAGUAAAUGUGAAAAGGGCUGAAAUCAACAAGACCACUGGGAGACAGUGAUUUGGGGCCACAGGAGUCCGUCCCAGUGAUGCAUACACCAGAGUAAGUUAUUUUUAAAAAGUGACUAUGCCAUCACAGACAUUUUCUACAGAAGAUCUGAUGUCUGUGUUAUAAUUGUGGCUCCGAGGGGCAGCAAGGAAGAUCUCCUCUGAAGACGGAACUAUGGGCCAGCGGAUACAGUGCCAUCUUGAACAGUAAGUCCCAAAGGGUAUUCUAGUGGGCAGCAUUAUGGAAAAAACAUCCAGUCAUUUCAUCUGUCAACUCAGAAGCACUAUGAUUUAGAAAUUAAACGUUCUGGCUCACGUGACUUUUCUAGAAAACUUUUCUGAUAUCUUUUGCGCUCUCGCAUAGAAAAAUAAAAUGCCUGCUGGAUACUUUGUGGAAAAAGGAUGUUGAUGGAAAUGCAUUUGAUGAAAUUCUUCAUGAUGCUAAAUUCAAUUUUAGGAAAAUAUGUUUUUACUCUGAGCCAGAAGUACACAACAUGACCCAUAAUAGGAAGUCUUACUAAAGAAAAGAACUUGAAAACUGGAAUGGCUGUGUAACACAGCCAGGUUCAUGUUAUUCAAGAGAGUGAUGGAAAAGUUCUCCGCUGUUUUAAUGCAGUGCUAGUUCCUAGAAAGCAAACAUCCCGCCCAACAAACUCGUACACACACAUCAUUCACAAAAUAUGCUACUGCUCAUUACCAUUUCACUGCAGAACUAAAAUGAUAAAUUAAGCUGUACUAAAUGACUAGCAUUUAUGGUACUUGGUACCACUGGAACUUUCUGAAACAAGUACUCCUGAAUUUGAAACUUUUGGGGCUACACCAAAAACUCAGUAUGUGCUCCAAGGGUUUACAAACCUCCAGGUUGGCACUGAAUUAUACACACCCCAAGUUGUAGGGUCGGUUUCCCUUAUAAAAUGUAUGAUCAAGAACAUAAUUCCCAUUUAUAGAGUUCUCAAUCUCCUGGGAAGGACAUCACUCAUUAAAAAAAAAAAAAAAAAAUCUCACAAAGCUGGACUUUGGGCAGUAAUCCAAACCAUCCUUACAAAAACAUGUUUGGGGUGAGCGAUGAUUUUGGUUUGAAAGCUACAACUGUGCAGGAGUAAACUUUCCAAUAUUCCAAGAAAACAACCUGUCCUAAGAGGGCCGCAGGAGAGCAAAGCCAGCAAGUAACCAAGACGGGAAUUUUGAAGCCAUUUUAGAGUUAGGAAAAGUCCAACAGCUUUGACUUGGAAGGGUUUGAAACAAAAUACAACAGUCCUUUCCUCUCAAAACGCCUCACAUUUAGCACCGCCUCACUUCUACCAGGGGGAAAAAAAAUCCAACUUAGGAGGUAUCCAGUUAUUUCCCUACCUCCAAUCCCUAUCCAAAAAAAAAAAAAAAAAGCAGGGAUAGGAAUUUGGAAUAGGGGGGACCAACUUCCUUUUAAAGAUCCUUUAUAUCUUCCCGGAUUUCUAAGGGGAAAAAAGUUUAAAACAGCAGAGUCCAGAAAACACUCAGGAGUUUUUUCCAAAUGGAACGAGGGACACGAAUCACACACUCAUAUCCGACCAUUAAGAAAAAUAAAUCCCUACAUUUUGGGGAGGAGAUGAGGACGGGGGUGGGGGGGUGCUUGGGAAUAUGAGCAAUUAAUGGGGGCGAAAAUAAACGUGUAUUUGUGCAUAAUAAAAGGCAGUUAACUACAGCCCAAAAGCCGCCUGUUUACACCUUUAAAACAAUGACAUGAAUAUUUAAAGACAACGGUUAACCCUUUCCUUCUCCGGCACGUUUAAAUUUUUAGACGAGAUGGCAAAGCGGGCCGCACGGCUGGUGCAGCACGCGUCUACAUCACACUUUAUUGACCUCAGUAGCAGAUACACCUCAAGAAAAAAAACGGGUGCCCUCAGAGAAAACCUUCCAGCUGUCCCACCCUGUGCCACCCCACCCUCUCUGACGGUCAGGUCCAGAGUCACAGAGAGAGGACAAGGCUAGCACCUGCUGCACUCCAGUUGCCACCCUGCCCACAACAGCGAACUAUUCUUGAGGACUUACUACACACGCCACUUACAGAGUGUUUUCUGAACAUCAUCUUAGAAAUCUCCCAGCAGCCUCAGGAGGAGCUUGUCCUGGAUUAUCUGGAUGGGCCCAAUUGAAUCGCAAAGGUCCUCAAUAGUGGAAGGUGGAAUCCAAACAGAACCAGAGAGAUGGCAGCAUGAGAAAGGUUCAGCCCUUGUUGGCUAUGAAGAUGGAGGAAGGGGCCACAAAUCAAGGAGUCCAGGAGCUUUCUGGAAGCUGGAAAAAGUAAGGAAACAACAGAUUUUCCUGUAGAGCCUUCAGAAAGGAAUGCACUCUGUUGCUACCUUGAUCUUAGCUGAUCCAAAGACCUGUCAGAUCAUAAAUGUGUGUUGUUUCAAACUAGUUUGUGGUAAUUUGUCACAGCGGCAAUAGAAAAUGAACAUACCCCCUUAAAAUAGUAGCAUUGGCAGGCAGGGACACGAAGGUGUUUAUCUACUGAUUUUCAUCCUUCAUGGCUAAGGGAUGAGCCCCUCCCCGUCCCUUUCACUGGACCAGGGGAGACUCAGACUUCCUGGUUACAGAAGCAGCCCUGAGGACCGGGCAUGCUGGUGAUUGAGGUGGGCUAGAAACUGUCCCAGAAGCUUCAGGUGGACACAGAGGUGGGCCAGGCCUCCAUGGUGUCAACAGCCUCUGCCACAGUGCCCAGCUGGAGGCAGUCAAGCCAGAAUCUAACAUGGGGCUAAGUCUGGAGCCCAACUGCCUGCCCCAGGGGCCCUCCCUGCAGCACACGAGGCCAUGAAAGUAGUCCUUCUUUUUGAAAUUCUUUGGGCUUGAUGUUAGCUCUUCCCUCGUUCUCCCGCUAACUUCUUUGGCUACUUCCUUUGAUGCGUCCUCCUUCACUAUCCUUUGCUCACCUGCGCCAUCACUGAUGUUCAUCAGGUUUGUCUUGGCCUUUCUCCUCAUGUUCAUCCUGUGUUGUACGUCACACGGGGCUUCUAGAGCCCUGCUGUCCAGUAAGUAUGGUAGCCACUCCCCACAGGUGGCUAUCGAGUGCCCAGAAGCUCUGAACUGACAUGUGCUCUCAGUGGGAAAAAUGCACUGGAUUUUGAAGAUGAAGACAAAGAAGACGAAGAAGAUGAAGAUGAAGGCAACGAUGAAGAAGAAAAGGAAAA